rnacentral:rRNA from 1 species
CACCAGCGCCACGAGUGGGGACCAGUAUUAUUGGGCCUAAAGCGUCCGUAGCCGGGCUUGUAAAUCUCUUGUGAAAUCGUUGGGCUCAACCUAACGGCGUGCAGGAGACACUGCAAGUCUUGAGACCGGGAGGAGUCAGGGGUAUUCUUGGGGUAGCGGUAAAAUGCGAUAAUCCCUGGAAGACCACCUGUGGCGAAGGCGUCUGACCAGAACGGGUCUGACGGUGAGGGACGAAAGCUGGGGGAGCGAU